UCCUGGGCGGCACAGAUGGUUAAUGCGCUUGGCUGCUAACCAAAAGAUUGGAGGUUUGAGUCCUCUCGGAGGCA
rnacentral:tRNA from 1 species